GACGAACGCUGGCGGCGUGCCUAAUACAUGCAAGUAGAACGCUGAAGGAGGAGCUUGCUCUUCUGGAUGAGUUGCGAACGGGUGAGUAACGCGUAGGUAACCUGCCUGGUAGCGGGGGAUAACUAUUGGAAACGAUAGCUAAUACCGCAUAAGAGUAGAUGUUGCAUGACAUUUGCUUAAAAGGUGCAAUUGCAUCACUACCAGAUGGACCUGCGUUGUAUUAGCUAGUUGGUGGGGUAACGGCUCACCAAGGCGACGAUACAUAGCCGACCUGAGAGGGUGAUCGGCCACACUGGGACUGGGACACGGCCCAGACUCCUACGGGAGGCAGCAGUAGGGAAUCUGCGGCAAUGGACGGAAGUCUGACCGAGCAACGCCGCGGGAGUGAAGAAGGUUUUCGGAUCGUAAAGCUCUGUUGUAAGAGAAGAACGAGUGUGAGAGUGGAAAGUUCACACUGUGACGGUAUCUUACCAGAAAGGGACGGCUAACUACGUG
rnacentral:rRNA from 1 species